rnacentral:rRNA from 1 species
UACAGAGGGGGCAAGCGUUGUUCGGAAUUACUGGGCGUAAAGGGCGCGUAGGCGGUCUGCUAAGUCGAACGUGAAAUCCCUGGGCUCAACCCAGGAACUGCGUCCGAUACUGGUUGGCUUGAAUCCGGGAGAGGUAUGUGGAAUUCCAGGUGUAGCGGUGAAAUGCGUAGAUAUCUGGAGGAACACCGGUGGCGAAGGCGACAUCCUGGACCGGUAUUGACGCUGAGGCGCGAAAGCCAGGGGAGCAAACGGG